rnacentral:rRNA from 1 species
AGAGUUUGAUCCUGGCUCAGGAUGAACGCUAGCGGCAGGCUUAACACAUGCAAGUCGAGGGGUAACAGGGAUUGCUUGCAAUCCGCUGACGACCGGCGCACGGGUGCGUAACGCGUAUGCAACCUACCUUCUACAGGGGGAUAGUCAAUAGAAAUGUUGAAUAAUACCCCAUACGAUCUUUGAAUAGCAUUAUUUAAAGAAGAAAGCUCCGGCGGUAGAAGAUGGGCAUGCGUCCUAUUAGUUAGUUGGUAAGGUAACGGCUUACCAAGACUUCGAUAGGUAGGGGUCCUGAGAGGGAGACCCCCCACACUGGUACUGAGACACGGACCAGACUCCUACGGGAGGCAGCAGUGAGGAAUAUUGGACAAUGGAGGCAACUCUGAUCCAGCCAUGCCGCGUGCAGGAAGACUGCCCUAUGGGUUGUAAACUGCUUUUAUACAGGAAGAAACACCUCUACGUGUAGAGGCUUGACGGUACUGUAAGAAUAAGGAUCGGCUAACUCCGUGCCAGCAGCCGCGGUAAUACGGAGGAUCCAAGCGUUAUCCGGAAUCAUUGGGUUUAAAGGGUCCGUAGGUGGAUAAUUAAGUCAGAGGUGAAAUCUUGCAGCUCAACUGUAAAAUUGCCUUUGAAACUGGUUAUCUUGAGUUAUUAUGAAGUAGUUAGAAUAUGUAGUGUAGCGGUGAAAUGCAUAGAUAUUACAUAGAAUACCAAUUGCGAAGGCAGAUUACUAAUAAUCAACUGACACUGAUGGACGAAAGCGUGGGUAGCGAACAGGAUUAGAUACCCUGGUAGUCCACGCC